rfam:Sphingopyxis sp. MC1 contigEBMC1_9, whole genome shotgun sequence.
GGUGCGGGCCGGGCCCCUCUGGCGAUCCCAGGAUCGUGAUGUCGGACCGCAUCG